AAUACAUUACAUAAUUUUGUAAGACAUUAAAUAUCUUCUAUUUAAGCCAAACAGAUUUUGCUUCGAACAGAAGAAUUGUAAUGUACUACGAUGAAAAGUAAAGAGUCUGGGAAAACGCUGAACACGGGAUAGUUGACAGUCUCUUUUUGCUUGCUGAGAGGGGGUUUCACGCUCAGCUCCAGGCCAGUAGUUUAGUAAAGCCAAACAGAUUUUGCUUCGAACAGAAGAAUUGUAAUGUACUACGAUGAAAAGUAAAGAGUCUGGGAAAACGCUGAACACGGGAUAGUUGACAGUCUCUUUUUGCUUGCUGAGAGGGGGUUUCACGCUCAGCUCCAGGCCAGUAGUUUAGUAAAGUUUGCAGAGACCAUGCCCAAGUAUUCCGAGAAUGAACUAGAAAAUUACUUUGAAGAUAUCCUGAAAAGAUCGCAGGAUAGAAAAGGCCUCAGUGACCGUGAAAAACUAAACCACAACGACAGCUUUUAAUUUGUUUUUUAGAUAAUUAUAAUUUAAUAUAUGUUUUUUGUUGAUAUGUAUUUUUAUAUAUAUUUAAAACUUUUGUAUAAUUCUAGUUUUAUGUUUUAUUCGUUUUAAUAAAUAAU